rnacentral:rRNA from 1 species
GGUUAAGCGACUAAGCGUACACGGUGGAUGCCCUGGCAGUCAGAGGCGAUGAAGGACGUGCUAAUCUGCGAUAAGCGUCGGUAAGGUGAUAUGAACCGUUAUAACCGGCGAUUUCCGAAUGGGGAAACCCAGUGUGUUUCGACACACUAUCAUUAACUGAAUCCAUAGGUUAAUGAGGCGAACCGGGGAACUGAAACAUCUAAGUACCCCGAGGAAAAGAAAUCAACCGAGAUUCCCCAGUAGCGGCGAGCGAACGGGGAGCAGCCCAGAGCCUGAAUCAGUGUGUGUGUUAGUGGAAGCGUCUGGAAAGGCGCGCGAUACAGGGUGACAGCCCCGUACACAAAAAUGCAUAUACUGUGAGCUCGAUGAGUAGGGCGGGACACGUGGUAUCCUGUCUGAAUAUGGGGGACCAUCCUCCAAGGCUAAAUACUCCUGACUGACCGAUAGUGAACCAGUACCGUGAGGGAAAGGCGAAAAGAACCCCGGCGAGGGAGUGAAAAAGAACCUGAAACCGUGUACGUACAAGCAGUGGGAGCCUCUUUAUGGGGUGACUGCGUACCUUUGUAUAAUGGGUCAGCGACUUAUAUUCUGUAGCAAGGUUAACCGAAUAGGGGAGCCGAAGGGAAACCGAGUCUUAACUGGGCGUUAAGUUGCAGGGUAUAGACCCGAAACCCGGUGAUCUAGCCAUGGGCAGGUUGAAGGUUGGGUAACACUAACUGGAGGACCGAACCGACUAAUGUUGAAAAAUUAGCGGAUGACUUGUGGCUGGGGGUGAAAGGCCAAUCAAACCGGGAGAUAGCUGGUUCUCCCGAAAGCUAUUUAGGUAGCGCCUCGUGAAUUCAUCUCCGGGGUAGAGCACUGUUUCGGCAAGGGGUCAUCCCGACUUACCAACCCGAUGCAAACUGCGAAUACCGGAGAAUGUUAUCACGGGAGACACACGGCGGGUGCUAACGUCCGUCGUGAAGAGGGAAACAACCCAGACCGCCAGCUAAGGUCCCAAAGUCAUGGUUAAGUGGGAAACGAUGUGGGAAGGCCCAGACAGCCAGGAUGUUGGCUUAGAAGCAGCCAUCAUUUAAAGAAAGCGUAAUAGCUCACUGGUCGAGUCGGCCUGCGCGGAAGAUGUAACGGGGCUAAACCAUGCACCGAAGCUGCGGCAGCGACGCUUAUGCGUUGUUGGGUAGGGGAGCGUUCUGUAAGCCUGUGAAGGUGUGCUGUGAGGCAUGCUGGAGGUAUCAGAAGUGCGAAUGCUGACAUAAGUAACGAUAAAGCGGGUGAAAAGCCCGCUCGCCGGAAGACCAAGGGUUCCUGUCCAACGUUAAUCGGGGCAGGGUGAGUCGACCCCUAAGGCGAGGCCGAAAGGCGUAGUCGAUGGGAAACAGGUUAAUAUUCCUGUACUUGGUGUUACUGCGAAGGGGGACGGAGAAGGCUAUGUUGGCCGGGCGACGGUUGUCCCGGUUUAAGCGUGUAGGCUGGUUUUCCAGGCAAAUCCGGAAAAUCAAGGCUGAGGCGUGAUGACGAGGCACUACGGUGCUGAAGCAACAAAUGCCCUGCUUCCAGGAAAAGCCUCUAAGCAUCAGGUAACAUCAAAUCGUACCCCAAACCGACACAGGUGGUCAGGUAGAGAAUACCAAGGCGCUUGAGAGAACUCGGGUGAAGGAACUAGGCAAAAUGGUGCCGUAACUUCGGGAGAAGGCACGCUGAUAUGUAGGUGAAGUCCCUCGCGGAUGGAGCUGAAAUCAGUCGAAGAUACCAGCUGGCUGCAACUGUUUAUUAAAAACACAGCACUGUGCAAACACGAAAGUGGACGUAUACGGUGUGACGCCUGCCCGGUGCCGGAAGGUUAAUUGAUGGGGUUAGCGGUAACGCGAAGCUCUUGAUCGAAGCCCCGGUAAACGGCGGCCGUAACUAUAACGGUCCUAAGGUAGCGAAAUUCCUUGUCGGGUAAGUUCCGACCUGCACGAAUGGCGUAAUGAUGGCCAGGCUGUCUCCACCCGAGACUCAGUGAAAUUGAACUCGCUGUGAAGAUGCAGUGUACCCGCGGCAAGACGGAAAGACCCCGUGAACCUUUACUAUAGCUUGACACUGAACAUUGAGCCUUGAUGUGUAGGAUAGGUGGGAGGCUUUGAAGUGUGGACGCCAGUCUGCAUGGAGCCGACCUUGAAAUACCACCCUUUAAUGUUUGAUGUUCUAACGUUGGCCCCUGAUCGGGGUUGCGGACAGUGUCUGGUGGGUAGUUUGACUGGGGCGGUCUCCUCCUAAAGAGUAACGGAGGAGCACGAAGGUUGGCUAAUCCUGGUCGGACAUCAGGAGGUUAGUGCAAUGGCAUAAGCCAGCUUGACUGCGAGCGUGACGGCGCGAGCAGGUGCGAAAGCAGGUCAUAGUGAUCCGGUGGUUCUGAAUGGAAGGGCCAUCGCUCAACGGAUAAAAGGUACUCCGGGGAUAACAGGCUGAUACCGCCCAAGAGUUCAUAUCGACGGCGGUGUUUGGCACCUCGAUGUCGGCUCAUCACAUCCUGGGGCUGAAGUAGGUCCCAAGGGUAUGGCUGUUCGCCAUUUAAAGUGGUACGCGAGCUGGGUUUAGAACGUCGUGAGACAGUUCGGUCCCUAUCUGCCGUGGGCGCUGGAGAACUGAGGGGCUGCUCCUAGUACGAGAGGACCGGAGUGGACGCAUCACUGGUGUUCGGGUUGUCAUGCCAAUGGCACUGCCUGGUAGCUAAAUGCGGAAGAGAUAAGUGCUGAAAGCAUCUAAGCACGAAACUUGCCCCGAGAUGAGUUCUCCUGACUCCUUGAGAGUCCUGAAGGAACGUUGAAGACGACGACGUUGAUAGGCCGGGUGUGUAAGCGCAGCGAUGCGUUGAGCUAACCGGUACUAAUGAACCGUGAGGCUUAACCUU